GAGUGAACGCUGGCGGUAGGCCUAACACAUGCAAGUCGAACGGCAGCCCAGUAAGAGCUUGCUCUUACGGGUGGCGAGUGGCGGACGGGUGCGGAAUACAUCGGAAUCUACUUUUUCGUGGGGGAUAACGUAGGGAAACUUACGCUAAUACCGCAUACGACCUACGGGUGAAAGCAGGGGAUCUUCGGACCUUGCGCGAUUGAAUGAGCCGAUGUCGGAUUAGCUAGUUGGCGGGGUAAAGGCCCACCAAGGCGACGAUCCGUAGCUGGUCUGAGAGGAUGAUCAGCCACACUGGAACUGAGACACGGUCCAGACUCCUACGGGAGGCAGCAGUGGGGAAUAUUGGACAAUGGGCGCAAGCCUGAUCCAGCCAUACCGCGUGGGUGAAGAAGGCCUUCGGGUUGUAAAGCCCUUUUGUUGGGAAAGAAAAGCAGCAGGUUAAUACCCCGCUGUUCUGACGGUACCCAAAGAAUAAGCACCGGCUAACUUCGUG
rnacentral:rRNA from 1 species